CUCCUUAUACGGUCACGUAAAUUAGGAGGAUGUUCUGAAAUUGGUUUUCUUUUAGCAUGAUCGGGCUCAUAAUAGCACACUUUAUCCGAUGCUUGGGAAGGAUUAAUAUUGUUAUUAAUAACUGGACAUGGAGAACUUGUCAAAGGAGAGCUAGAAGAAGCUGCAGAAGCUUGAGCUUUGUAAAAACUCGUGAUCAUAUCGACUUUUGCUAGAAAAACCUAAAAAUCACAAAACAGAAAUUUACUUGAAGUUGUAUGUUUCAAAAUGCUAUAACAAACUAUUCUUUAUCUCCUCUGACAUAGUUCAAUUUGUAAACUGUAAGAUAUACCAAUAAGAACUUAUGAAUGCACAGUGCUAAAAUAUAAAGAGUAAAUCAUCAUGUACUUUAUUUCACGAACUUAUGUAGCACUAAAUCUACACAGCCCUUGAAAACCAAUAGAUAAUUGGACAUAUUUUGUGCAUUUAUGAUAAAAUCCACACAGUAGAAUAUAUACUUUUAUGUCAGAAUUCAACUGGAAAUAAGUAUAAAGGUAACUGCCCCUCAUUCUUGUAACAAACGAAAAAUUCUUCUAUCAUGUGUAGAAACACUUUACAAAAAUUGAACACAUAUAAACAAACAUAAGUAACUUAAUCUCAAACCAAAUUGGGAUAGCACGAUUUUUAAUCAUCUAUUCAUAAAUGAUACUAGAGUAAUACUUCUCUGAUAGCACAAUUCAUUACACUAAUUCAUUACUCUUGAAGUUCAUUAUCGAAUCCCACACAAUAGCAUAUUUAGCCGAUUCCCCUUUUACAAUCAAUCAUCAGUAGCAUAAUCUCAAACCAAAUUGGGAUCAACCGUAACAAUUCUGCACUAUUUCUAUUUGGGCUUAUUCAUUCCAAUACCAAAAUAAUUUGCCUCAAAUCAAUUGAAAAUGGGUUAAGAAUUUUGAUUCACAGGAGAUGGGAAGACAGACAGAUUACAGAUACCUGAGACGAACCCUAGCAGAGGCAGCAGAACCCUAGCUUUUUUUUGAUUUGGGAAUUGGAAGAAAACCCAGCAGAACCCUAGCUUUUUUUUUUUUGAUUUAGGAAUUGGAAAAAAACGUUUGUGUUUAAAGUUGGGAAGCUUUUGUUCUUUGUUUAUUAAAAAGAAACACGUUAUGUUGAGAGGUAAGUGAAGAAAACGUUGUCGUUCAGUUGAUUUGUGAAAAAAUUUAUUAAAAAAAAACGAAAUAAAAAACUGCUUUAAUGGGGAAUCUGAUUAGGGAAUUGGAAGAAAAAGUUUGUGUUUAAAGUUGGGAAGCUUCUGUUCUUUGUUUAUUAGAAAGAAACAUAUUAUGUUGAGAGGUAAGUGAAGAAAACGUUG
rnacentral:lncRNA from 1 species